rnacentral:lncRNA from 1 species
AUAAAUAUAAUUUCAGUCGGUUGAUUUUAUGAAUUAGAAUGAAAUUAUUUUCUUCUGAAUUGUCUGCCCAUAGAUGGCGUUUAGGUUAAGUUGUUUGUGUGAUUUGGCGGUUAAAUCAUUCGGCACGACAGGGUCUACUCGAUAGGUCACGUUAAUUUUUUCUAGCUGUGUUAGUCGAUUAGUACGUUCGAAUUUAGUCUUGGAUUAUGAAUAUUAUGAAGAUAAUGAACCCGAUAUUUCAUUGAGAACUGUUUUAACUGCUUUAAAUCAACAAAGUUGAGGUAUUGAGCCGGCAAUUAUUGGUGAUAGAGAGACGGAGAAGUUUGGUGGACUUGGAUAAGUUGCAGGGUUCUAACCAGUUGAUGGAGUACCAGGUGAAGAGAAAAGAAAAAGGGAACAUACUACUCUUGUGGGUCCUACACACACUACAGGUCCAGCAGUCCGUAUGUCAACAGUAGUAAAUCCCCCACCAAACCUGGCCUCAGUGAAAUUUUGAAAGAUGAGUAUUUAAAUUAUCUAUAAAUUUUACCUUUAAUAGAUAAUUGUAUUGAUUAUAAUUUGACCAAUGAUUAUAUUGAAUAUCAAGUAGGUCAAUCUGAUAUUAUUGUUAAGGAUAGACUUAGCAGAAACAUUCAAUUUUAGAUGGAUAUUGAUACGCC